rnacentral:rRNA from 1 species
UACGUAGGGUGCAAGCGUUAAUCGGAAUUACUGGGCGUAAAGCGUGCGCAGGCGGUUUUGUAAGUCUGACGUGAAAUCCCCGGGCUCAACCUGGGAAUUGCGUUGGAGACUGCAAGGCUAGAAUCUGGCAGAGGGGGGUAGAAUUCCACGUGUAGCAGUGAAAUGCGUAGAGAUGUGGUGGAACACCGAUGGCGAAGGCAGCCCCCUGGGUCAAGAUUGACGCUCAUGCACGAAAGCGUGGGGAGCAAACAGG